GUUUAAGCAGAAGAAUGAAGAAGACUUGCUAUCUGGAUUGUUUUGACAGGUGUUUGGCAGCACGUGGAUGAUACAUUGAGAAGGACAACCCUGAAGUCAGGGAUAACAAAACGCAGCAAUUUUCAUCAUGGCAGGAAACUCUCCUUUGGGAAAGGGGUGAGCUGUCAGAAUAUCGAGGGGAUGAGUGUGGCUUUAAAAAAAAACAGUCAUUUUACUUAUUGUUUUCAUUCAACAAACUGUGUGAAAAUUAACCUAACAAGAUCUCAUUUACUUUUGGUGAUGCACUGUAUUCAAAGAUAGAGGUAGGAGAGACAUGAUUAGAAAGAUCUUCAGAAAGUUAAUAUGGGAGGCUGUAGGGCAUUCAGAUAGGAAAAUGAAAGAGGCAUUUGGAUGUGUAGUCCUGAAGCUUAGAAAAGGAAGCUGUGGUUUAAAUUUAACUGGUCAAUAGUUAAUCUCAUGAGAUCGUGUAUCCAGGGUAGAUGGGGAUACUGGGAGAAAAAUGAGAAGGCAAGCUUGAUUGGUGACAUAAAGAUAAGGAAAAAAAAAAACACACACACACACAUCAGAGAAGAAGGAAAAGAGGCAUCAAGAAAAGUCUUCAGUACUCAACAAGGGUUCUAAAACUACUUCCUGCCCAGAGCAAUUUUUGAGAUUCAUUCUAGACUCCAUAUCUAGGUACUGCAUUAUGACUUGGGUUCUCUCCUUCAACAACAAGAAUGGAUUGAAUUAUUUCCAUGGGCGGGGAGUAUAUACUGUACAGGAUAUUGAUUGGUGUCUUUCUCCUGACUUAGUAAUCUAGAC
rnacentral:lncRNA from 1 species